AACCCACUAAAGCUCUUACCCAAACCCAUUAAGCUUCUCUCACAAAGUCACAAGCAAAAGCAGAGAUGAAAACAAUUGAAAAAUCCCGUGUAGAUUAUGCUCAUCCACGACUCAUCCAAAACUCCAAGAUCAAAGCUCUCGGACCUGAUGCCUCUCUUCGAGAGGACUUUUUCGAAGUAAAGGACUAUAGAUCAAGAAGAUUUGCUUGCCAAUCUACUCAAAAAUUAAGGCUAAUAUGCAAAUUUUAAGCUCUGUGAGAAUCUGGUUACUACGAGGAUGGGAAGUUUGGUAUAAGAUUGGAGAAUGUGCUUAUUUUCAAAGAGGGCAAUACUAAGUUUAACUUUGGCAACAAAGGUUACUUGACAUUUGAGCAUAUAACUUGGGCACCAUAUCAGAGGAAGUUGAUUGAUGUUAG